GAUGAAGAACGUAGCGAAAUGCGAUAAGUAAUGUGAAUUGCAGAAUUCAGUGAAUCAUCGAAUCUUUGAACGCACAUUGUGCCCAUUAGUAUUCUAGUGGGCAUGCCUGUUCGAGCGUCAUUUCAACCCUUAAGCCUAGCUUAGUAUUGGGAAUCGACUUUACUGUCGUUCCUCAAAUUCAACGGCGGAUUUAUAGCAAUCUCUGAACGUAGUAAUUUUUUUUCUCGUUUUUGAAAUACUAUAAACCUCAGCCGCUAAACCCCCAAUUUCUUAUGGUUGACCUCGGAUCAGGUAGGAAUACCCGCUGAACUUAAGCAUAUCAAUAAGCGGAGGA
rnacentral:misc_RNA from 1 species